rnacentral:rRNA from 1 species
AGCGAACGCUGGCGGCAGGCUUAACACAUGCAAGUCGAGCGGCCCUUUCGGGGUCAGCGGCGGUCGGGUGAGUAACGCGUGGGAACGUGCCUUCCGGUUCGGAAUAAUCCUGUGAAACUAGGGCUAAUACCGGAUACGUCCUGCUAGUGAAAGGUUUACUGCCGGAAGGUGGGCCCGGGUCCGUUUAGCUAGGUGGGGGUGUAACGGCCUAUCAAGGCGACGAUCGUUAGCUGGGCAGAGAGGAUGGUCAGCGACACUGGGACGGAGACACGGUCCGGAAUCUUACGGGAGGGAGGAGUGGGGAAUAUUGGAAUAUCGGCGCAAUCCUGAUCCCGCCAGGCUGCGUGAGCGAUGAAGGUCUUAGGGUUGUAAAGCACUUUUAUCCGGGACGAUAAUGACGGUACCGGAGGAAUAAGCCCCGGCUAACUUCGUG